rnacentral:rRNA from 1 species
AGGACGAACGCUGGCGGCGUGCUUAACACAUGCAAGUGGAGCGACGAACCGGGGCUUGCCCCGGGGCAGAGCCGCGAACGGGUGAGUAACACGUGGGUUACCUGCCCCAAUGACCGGGACAACCCAAGGAAACUCGGGCUAAUACCGGAUGUGGUCUUCGGACGAAAGGAAGCUUCGGCCUCCGCAUUGGGAUGGGCCCGCGGCGCAUUAGCUUGUUGGUGGGGUAACGGCCUACCAAGGCGACGAUGCGUAGCUGGUCUGAGAGGACGAUCAGCCACACUGGGACUGAGACACGGCCCAGACUCCUACGGGAGGCAGCAGUGGGGAAUCUUGCGCAAUGCGCGAAAGCGUGACGCAGCAACGCCGCGUGGGGGAAGAAGGCCUUCGGGUUGUAAACCUCUUUCAGUUGGGACGAAGGGCUCGCGGUUAAUAGCCGUGGAGUUUGACGGUACCUUCAGAAGAAGCCCGGCUAACUACGUGCCAGCAGCCGC